rnacentral:rRNA from 1 species
CAUGCAGUCGAGCGGAACGGCAACAUUGAGUCUUCGGAUGAUUUGUUGGACGUCGAGCGGCGGACGGGUGAGUAAUGCUUAGGAAUUUGCCCAGUCGAGGGGGAUAACUAUUGGAAACGAUAGCUAAUACCGCAUACGCCCUACGGGGGAAAAGAGGGGACCUUCGGGCCUUCUGCGAUUGGAUAAGCCUAAGUGAGAUUAGCUAGUUGGUGAGGUAAUGGCUCACCAAGGCGACGAUCUCUAGCUGGUCUGAGAGGAUGAUCAGCCACACUGGGACUGAGACACGGCCCAGACUCCUACGGGAGGCAGCAGUGGGGAAUAUUGCACAAUGGGCGCAAGCCUGAUGCAGCCAUGCCGCGUGUGUGAAGAAGGCCUUCGGGUUGUAAAGCACUUUCAGCAGUGAGGAAGGCAGUAACGUUAAUAGCGUUGGUGUUUGACGUUAGCUGCAGAAGAAGCACCGGCUAACUCCGUGCCAGCAGCCGCGGUAAUACGGAGGGUGCGAGCGUUAAUCGGAAUUACUGGGCGUAAAGCGCAUGCAGGUGGUUUGUUAAGUCAGAUGUGAAAGCCCUGGGCUCAACCCGGGAAGGUCAUUUGAAACUGGCAAACUAGAGUACUGUAGAGGGGGGUAGAAUUUCAGGUGUAGCGGUGAAAUGCGUAGAGAUCUGAAGGAAUACCAGUGGCGAAGGCGGCCCCCUGGACAGAUACUGACACUCAGAUGCGAAAGCGUGGGGGAGCAAACAGGAUUAGAUACCCUGGNUAGUCCACGCCGUAAACGAUGUCUACUUGGAGGUUGUUCCCUUGAGGAGUGGCUUUCGGAGCUAACGCGUUAAGUAGACCGCCUGGGGAGUACGGUCGCAAGAUUAAAACUCAAAUGAAUUGACGGGGGGCCCGCACAAGCGGU